CCUACGGGAGGCAGCAGUGAGGAAUAUUGGUCAAUGGCCGGAAGGCUGAACCAGCCAUGCCGCGUGAAGGUCAGUGCCCUAUGGGCGUUAAACUUCUUUUGUGCGGGAGCAAUAAUGGUCACGUGUGGCCAGACGAGAGUACCGUACGAAUAAGCAUCGGCUAACUCCGUGCCAGCAGCCGCGGUAAUACGGGGGAUGCAAGCGUUAUCCGGAUUUAUUGGGUUUAAAGGGUGCGUAGGCUGUGAGGUAAGUCAGCGGUGAAAUGCCCCCGCUCAACGGGGUGAAGUGCCAUUGAUACUGGCUGGCUGGAAUGCGGAUGACGUGGGAGGAAUGUGUGGUGUAGCGGUGAAAUGCAUAGAUAUCACACAGAACACCGAUUGCGAAGGCAUCUCACGAAUCCGCGAUUGACGCUGAUGCACGAAAGCGUGGGUAUCAAACAGGAUUAGAUACCCGGGUAGUC
rnacentral:rRNA from 1 species